ACGAACGCUGGCGGCGUGCUUCACACAUGGAAGUCGAACGGAAAGGCCCUGCUUUUGUGGGGUGCUCGAGUGGCGAACGGGUGAGUAACACGUGAGUAACCUGCCCUUGACUUUGGGAUAACUUCAGGAAACUGGGGCUAAUACCGGAUAGGAGCUCCUGCUGCAUGGUGGGGGUUGGAAAGUUUCGGCGGUUGGGGAUGGACUCGCGGCUUAUCAGCUUGUUGGUGGGGUAGUGGCUUACCAAGGCUUUGACGGGUAGCCGGCCUGAGAGGGUGACCGGCCACAUUGGGACUGAGAUACGGCCCAGACUCCUACGGGAGGCAGCAGUGGGGAAUAUUGCACAAUGGGCGGAAGCCUGAUGCAGCAACGCCGCGUGCGGGAUGACGGCCUUCGGGUUGUAAACCGCUUUCGCCUGUGACGAAGCGUGAGUGACGGUAAUGGGUAAAGAAGCACCGGCUAACUACGUG
rnacentral:rRNA from 1 species